CUUAUAUGGCAGUACUUCCUC
rnacentral:miRNA from 1 species